AUGUCGGUUCUUCCUAUCCUGGCCGUGCAUAAGCGGCCAAGGGUGGGGUUGUUCGCCCAUCAAAAGGGAACGUGAGCUGGGUUUAGACCGUCGCGAGACAGGUCGGAUGCUAUCUUUCGGGGGUGCCCGGUGCCUGAGGGGAAGGUGUCCCUAGUACGAGAGGAACGGGACGCCGGCGCCUCUAGUGUACCGGUUGUCCGACAGGGCAUCGCCGGGUAGCCACGCGCCAGCCGAUAAGGCCUGAAAGCAUCUAAGGCCGAAGCGGCCCCCGAAAACAGGCACCGUGUCCUUCCGCUCCGAAAGGGGCGGAAGGCGAAGGGCUGGGGCUAGAAGACCCCGUUGAUAGACCGGGGGUGUACGCAUCGAGCCCGAAAGGGCGAGAUGCUCAGCCCACCGGCACUAAUCGCCCGA
rnacentral:rRNA from 1 species